AUUGAACGCUGGCGGCAUGCCUAACACAUGCAAGUCGAACGGUAACAGGAGCUAGCUUGCUAGCUCGCUGACGAGUGGCGGACGGGUGAGUAAUGCGUAGGAACUUACCUCAAAGCGGGGGAUAGCCCGGAGAAAUCCGGAUUAAUACCGCAUGUGCUCUACGGAGGAAAGCGGGCCUCUACUUGUAAGCUCGCACUUUGAGAUAAGCCUACGUCGGAUUAGCUAGUUGGUAGGGUAAAAGCCUACCAAGGCGACGAUCCGUAGCUGGUUUGAGAGGAUGAUCAGCCACACUGGGACUGAGACACGGCCCAGACUCCUACGGGAGGCAGCAGUGGGGAAUAUUGGACAAUGGGCGAAAGCCUGAUCCAGCAAUGCCGCGUGUGUGAAGAAGGCCUGCGGGUUGUAAAGCACUUUUAUCAGGAAAGAAAAUCUCGGGGCUAAUAUCCCCGGGCCUUGACGGUACCUGAUGAAUAAGCACCGGCUAACUCCGUGCCAGCAGCCGCAGUAACAC
rnacentral:rRNA from 1 species